UGGUAAGUGUAUAUAUACAUAUAUAGCUUCGUGUCUUUGGUUCGGAGAUCAUCACUCUUGUUGUCUAUGUGACGCGCUGUACCUGUACAUCAAACACUAGCCAAUGCAAGAUAAAAAAAAAUACAUGCACAGUCUCACCUCAUGUUUGUUGGCCAUACCCUAGACGUUGCCUGCUGAGGAAGCAAAGCAGUCGGUCACAUUUUUUUUCUCUCCACCCCUUUUCACUUCUUCAAGAAACUCCCCCACCCCACCCCCACCGUACCUCGUGCGUUUGUACGCAUCUCUGGCAGUUGGCUUGUUUAGCCAACUUUGGAACUGAGCCGCAUAUUAGCUUUAAAGAGCUGUGCCGCGGUGCUGACUGCCUUUUGUGAAAGCUUGCGGCGUGAAGGAAAGAGGGGGGAGGAUGGACGCAAAACAAUGUGGUGGUGCGGAAGGAGUCAACGUACUCUCCGCCAUCCACGCGGUAUCCUUCACCAGCCAUUGAUGCUCUCCUUAUCCCCUGUUGUGUUCUUCCGCUCAUGCUCGAUGUCGAGGGAUCGAGUCAUCCUAGAUGUUUCGCCUCUCCUGUACCCCUCUCUCCCCCACCCGCCUUCUUGCGUACCCACCACGACGGGGGAGAUCCCCUCUUGAGGUGAAGAACAAGGAAUGAGGGGAGGGUGAUACGUCGGUCCACCUACUCGCGGGUGGUGUUAUCCGAUGAUGCCUUGAAAACAACAGAACUCUCAUGGACCGCUUUGACAGCGCUGUGCAGUAUCGAGAGUGCCAGUGGGGAGGAGGAUACCAGAUUGGUGGACUUCUCCACGGAAACAGGAAGCUCGCCAGAUGCGAGGACGAGUUUGGAGCCAUGCAGUCGAAUGCGUUGUGCUUCUCGUUUCACAUUACUCUCUUUCUCCCCCAUGUAUCUCUCUGCGCGUUGAACUCCGCCAGGCGCGCAAUCCGUUUGGGCAUCUCUCUACUUUUACUCACUUUUUUAUCUUUGCUACCCGCUAUGCACUUGCACCACAAACUGCACCGCCCUCCUCUCACCCUCCACUCCCCCCUCCUCCCCACCACACCGCACCUACGCCCCCACACCAACGAGACAAG
rnacentral:misc_RNA from 1 species